CAGUAGCCGCGGUAAUACGAAGGGGGCUAGCGUUGCUCGGAAUUACUGGGCGUAAAGCGCACGUAGGCGGAUAUUUAAGUCAGGGGUGAAAUCCCAGAGCUCAACUCUGGAACUGCCUUUGAUACUGGGUAUCUUGAGUAUGGAAGAGGUGAGUGGAAUUCCGAGUGUAGAGGUGAAAUUCGUAGAUAUUCGGAGGAACACCAGUGGCGAAGGCGGCUCACUGGUCCAUUACUGACGCUGAGGUGCGAAAGCGUGGGGAGCAAACAGGAUUAGAUACCCCCGUAGUCCCUGUCUCUUAUAC
rnacentral:rRNA from 1 species